rnacentral:rRNA from 1 species
GUGAAAGAGAGCUUGCUCUCUGGAUCAGUGGCGAACGGGUGAGUAACACGUGAGCAAUCUGCCCCUGACUCUGGGAUAAGCGCUGGAAACGGCGUCUAAUACCGGAUACGAGCUGCGAAGGCAUCUUCAGCAGCUGGAAAGAAUUUCGGUCAGGGAUGAGCUCGCGGCCUAUCAGCUUGUUGGUGAGGUAACGGCUCACCAAGGCGUCGACGGGUAGCCGGCCUGAGAGGGUGACCGGCCACACUGGGACUGAGACACGGCCCAGACUCCUACGGGAGGCAGCAGUGGGGAAUAUUGCACAAUGGGCGCAAGCCUGAUGCAUCAACGCCGCGUGAGGGACGACGGCCUUCGGGUUGUAAACCUCUUUUAGCAGGGAAGAAGCGAAAGUGACGGUACCUGCAGAAAAAUCACCGGCUAACUACGUGCCAGCAGCCGCGGUAAUACGUAGGGUGCAAGCGUUAUCCGGAAUUAUUGGGCGUAAAGAGCUCGUAGGCGGUUUGUCGCGUCUGCUGUGAAAACCCGAGGCUCAACCUCGGGCCUGCAGUGGGUACGGGCAGACUAGAGUGCGGUAGGGGAGAUUGGAAUUCCUGGUGUAGCGGUGGAAUGCGCAGAUAUCAGGAGGAACAUCCGAUGGCAAAAGGCAGAUCUCUGGGCCGUAACUGACGAUGAGGAGCGAAAAGGGUGGGGAGCAAACAGGCUUAGAUACCCUGGUAGUCCACCCCGUAAACGUUUGGGAACUAGUUGUGGGGUCCAUUCCACGGAUUCCGUGACGCAGCUAACGCAUUUAAGUUCCCCGCCUGGGGAGUACGGCCGCAAGGUUAAAAAUCAAAGGAAUUGACGGGGACCCGCACAAGCGGCGGAGCAUGCGGAUUAAUUCGAUGCAACGCGAAGAACCUUACCAAGGCUUGACAUAUACGAGAACGGGCCAGAAAUGGUCAACUCUUUGGACACUCGUAAACAGGUGGUGCAUGGUUGUCGUCAGCUCGUGUCGUGAGAUGUUGGGUUAAGUCCCGCAACGAGCGCAACCCUCGUUCUAUGUUGCCAGCACGUAAUGGUGGGAACUCAUGGGAUACUGCCGGGGUCAACUCGGAGGAAGGUGGGGAUGACGUCAAAUCAUCAUGCCCCUUAUGUCUUGGGCUUCACGCAUGCUACAAUGGCCGGUACAAAGGGCUGCAAUACCGCGAGGUGGAGCGAAUCCCAAAAAGCCGGUCCCAGUUCGGAUUGAGGUCUGCAACUCGACCUCAUGAAGUCGGAGUCGCUAGUAAUCGCAGAUCAGCAACGCUGCGGUGAAUACGUUCCCGGGUCUUGUACACCCCGCCUUCAAGUCAUGAAAGUCGGUAACACCUGAAGCCGGUGGCCCAACC